UAUUUCAGUAAUUAAUUCAAACAGUUACAAGAUGUAACACAUGUGCACCUUUAGAAACCGCAUAGUUACUGUAUUGCAUUCUCCUUUACCUGUAUAAAGUUUAAAAACUUUGUUUUCACAGGAAGUGGAACAAGAGCAAAACCCUCAUGGAUCAAUAAAACUCCUAAAACCAGGUCCAGACAAGUCCUUGCAAUUGGGAGAUAAGUUCUCCCUCACAACAAACAAGACGGAUGCAGACAUUCAACCCAGCACACGAGAGCUCAGAUGUGAUGGUAGAAAUUACUUUGAGGUGUUCAUCAGAGAUGCAGACAGCGACUUCACCCUCAGGCUUCAAAGUAAGCAGAACACUGUCUGGACCUGUACCAUUCAUAAAGGAGAUUACCAAAGUCAAACUACUGAUCAUAACGAAGGUAAGAAAAGAAAAAUUAGGAUUGACGAGUGAUAAGAUGACUUCCCAUAGUGACUUUGUACACCAUUGC